rnacentral:snoRNA from 1 species
UGCCUUGUUGUUCUAACAUACAUAGGCACGUUCCAUUGUGUCUAAACUCAGCAAUAAGGCUACAGAAUGUGACAGGUUAUGCUUCCAUCAUUGUAAGACAAAGUUGCAUUGGUGACAAUGAGACCUGUAAUAACC